CAUGCAAGUCGAACGAACCUUCGGGUUAGUGGCGGACGGGUGAGUAACGCGUGAGAAUCUGCCCUCAGGAGGGGGAUAACAGUUGGAAACGACUGCUAAUACCCCAUAUGCCGAGAGGUGAAAUGAAUUUCGCCUGGGGAUGAGCUCGCGUCUGAUUAGCUUGUUGGUGGGGUAAUAGCCUACCAAGGCUUCGAUCAGUAGCUGGUCUGAGAGGACGAUCAGCCACACUGGGACUGAGACACGGCCCAGACUCCUACGGGAGGCAGCAGUGGGGAAUUUUCCGCAAUGGGCGAAAGCCUGACGGAGCAACGCCGCGUGAGGGAUGGAGGCCUUUGGGCUGUAAACCUCUUUUCUCAAGGAAGAAGAUCUGACGGUACUUGAGGAAUAAGCCACGGCUAAUUCCGCGCCAGCAGCCGCGGUAAUACGGGAGUGGCAAGCGUUAUCCGGAAUUAUUGGGCGUAAAGCGUCCGCAGGCGGCCGUUUAAGUCUGUUGUUAAAUCGUGGAGCUCAACUCCAUCACGGCAAUGGAAACUGUUCGGCUUGAGUAUGGUAGGGGCAGAGGGAAUUUCCGGUGUAGCGGUGAAAUGCGUAGAUAUCGGGAAGAACACCAGUGGCGAAAGCGCUCUGCUGGGCCAUUACUGACG
rnacentral:rRNA from 1 species